CCCCUGGAUGCCCCCAAACCUCUCUAGGACGUCUCCAGAUCCUUCUGCACGAUUCUAAAACCCCCUGGAUGCCCCCAAACCUCUCUAGGACGUCUCCAGAUCCUUCUGCACGAUUCUAAGUGGGGAAAAGGGAGGCUGAGGGGGGGGGGGGGAAGGGGUUAGGGGGGCUUCUGUGGGGUGGAAAGGGAGUCUGGGGGUGGAGAGGGGGUUGUGUGGAAUCCGGGGAGGGGGGGGAAGGUGUAAGUGGGGCUUCUAUGGGGUGGAAGAGUGGGGAGGGGAGAGCUGGGUGGCUUCUAUGAGACAGAAAGGGGGUCCCGUUGGGGGAUACUGGGGGUCAAAAUGGGGGAGCGGACUCCAGAGGUCAGGGAGGAGGGCAUGGGGAGUACAGG
ensembl:lncRNA